rnacentral:rRNA from 1 species
GUUAAAAAGCUCGUAGUUGGAUUUCUGUUGAGAACGGGCGGUCCGCCUUUUGGGGGAGUAUCUGUGUUGACCUCUGCAUCUUCUUGAGGAGCGCUCCUGCGCUUGAUUGCGUGAAGCGGUGCCCAGAACUUUUACUUUGAGGAAAUUAGAGUGUUCACGGCAGGCUUUCACCCUGAAUAUAUUACCAUGGAAUAAUGAUAUAUGAUUUUGGUCCUAUUUUGUUGGUUUCUAUGACUAGGAAAUGAUUAAUAGGGA